rnacentral:lncRNA from 9 species
GCCUGCCAUGUUUACCCUCUACUUAAAUUCCCUGAUUGUUUCCAUUAGCUAGUAAAAUUCUUAUGAUCUGACUUCAGCUUACCUUUUCUGUCCUGUAUCUUGCCUCUCUUUGUACCCCUGGCACUUGGCCUAAUGAGCACACUAUUUGCCCUGUGCCUUCCCAUCUCUGUGCCCCUCUUUGUGCUGAUUCUGUUACCUGACAUGCACUGUUCCCAGCUUCUCCUCUCUCCCUCAUUUCAUGUGAAUCCUAUUUAUUCUUUACAACCUGACUCACCUGCUACCUCUUUCUGAAGCCCUUGGAUCCUCUACAACUUAGUUGAAAAAUCUCUAUUUGCUCUUUUUAGGGGGGCGGAGGAGUUCUCAUAAAGUCGUUUUGUUUAGAUUCCAAACAAAUCGAAGCAGAGAGGAGUUGACCCCAGCUUAAUCUGUCCUGGGGACUCUGGCUCCAGCAAUUGAGACUCUGGCUCUAGCUAGCAGGAGUCUCUAGGCUCCAGCCAGCAGGAGGUGCGGGCAAGACCAGCAUCUGUGGCGCCCAACCUGUCAGCACCCACCUGAGCCUGCUUCCAGCACAGGCGGAGGACACGACUGUGGGGGGGAGGGGGCUUCCUAGGCUUGGGAGGGGAGGGGCCAUCCUCCGAAGCCUUGGAAGCCCAGGAAGCCCGAGGAGGAGGGCGGAGCCCCACCUGGGCAUAGGCGCAGGACCUGAGCUAUUUGAGGUGCUUGAGACAAGACUGUGGGCCUCGCCGUCCUCGAGGCCAUCGUAGUGGAAGAGGCUCGAGCCCUAGUGGGGUGCCCAGGCCUCGUCUUCACACAGUGCUGGAUCAGCGCGGUGGGCACCUUGCGCCUUCACACCGCCCCUGCGUCUGCCUUGGUCCUCAAGACCUGCUAUGGAUGAUGUCCCUGCCCUCUGACUCCAACCUUCACUCUCCUCUGGCUUCCUGCACAUCACAGAGGUGUCCACAUCGGUGGGUACCUGAGGUACAUUCAGAAAGGCCAGACUCUGGGUUCCUUCUGGCAUUGGGAGGAAGAAGGCAUCCCGGAAAUCAAGGUACUUAAGAACCAGAGCCUUGUGUUGACAGAAAUAUGUGUCCCUAUGUGCAGGUGGGUUGUUUUGGUCAAAAGAACGUAGCUGACCUCCAAGGGACCUCAUGCCGUAGGUGCCCUGUGGUCAGGUGUCUGAGCAGGGAGAUGGCAGGACAGCAAGCUGCGUGGCAGAGGAGGAGCAGGGCAGGGAGUCCUCCAGAC